rnacentral:pre_miRNA from 1 species
GGGGGGAGGCUGGAUCCCGGGCUGUGCCCGGCGCCCUGUGCUCCUGGGACUGCGCUGUUAGAUUCGCGCUCCCGCCCCGCAGCCCCCU